AACGAACGCUGGCGGCAUGCCUAACACAUGCAAGUCGAACGAGACCUUCGGGUCUAGUGGCGCACGGGUGCGUAACGCGUGGGAACCUGCCCUUAGGUUCGGAAUAACUCCCCGAAAGGGGUGCUAAUACCGGAUAAUGUCUUCGGACCAAAGAUUUAUCGCCUUUGGAUGGGCCCGAGUUGGAUUAGCUAGUUGGUAGGGUAAAAGCCUACCAAGGCGACGAUCCAUAGCUGGUCUGAGAGGAUGAUCAGCCACACUGGGACUGAGACGCGGCCCAGACUCCUACGGGAGGCAGCAGUGGGGAAUAUUGGAAAAUGGGCGAAAGGCUGAACCAGCAAUGACGCGUGAGUGAUGAAGGCCUUAGGGUUGUAAAGCGCUUUUAACCGGGAUGAUAAUGACAGUACCGGGAGAAUAAGCUCCGGCUAACUACGUG
rnacentral:rRNA from 1 species